GCAUGAGCAUAUUCUUCUCGUACAUCAACAUCAGUAAGUUGGUUGGAAAUAUCGACGCUUGAUGCUUUAUAUAUCCACCAAAACAAUAAUAACCAUUAUAAAAUUGUACUCUUUUUUUCCACACUUUAAUUGAUUCCCUAACAUCGACGUUAACUCUUCUUACUAAGUUCAUCUUUUGAUAGCUGAUGCCUUGGCUCUUGUCCCGUCAAUAACUUUAAUAAUUCAUCAUUUGACAAAAUUAACAUGAUAUUAGAGACAAAGUUUGCCCAUGAUGUUUGUACAAAAGAAAUGAAACUCAAGCAUCGGCUUUAAAUAGGUCACAUGGGAAGUGAUUUUGAUAAUGAGACCUAUCGCGAUUGUAUAAAAGAGAGACAUGAAUAUGAAUGAGGCCACUUUAUUGUAGGUUCCCUUCUAGAUGGCUUAUUAUUUAGCAUUAUUCUUCGGCAUGAUUUAACAUCCUAGUACAAAGCUCAUUCAAAAGACACUAAAUCUGUUCACAUGCAAAACAAUGUUUUUCAAAAGAAUUAAACUACCUCUUUCCAAAGAUAAACUAAAUUUACAAUCAAAUUUCGAUAUAUAUAGAAUAAGACUCUUUUUGUUAUUAUAUGGCGACGAUCAUGUGACUUUAUUGCUGAUGGAUCUAGAAGAUGAGAAAAAUAUGAACUAAUAAUUCUCUAUCUUUCACUGUUUUAGUGUAUUAAAAUUCGAAUGAUUUUAAAAUGUGGAUAUCGUCAGUCCUUUGAACUUCUCACCCACAUAUAAUUUUAAAAUAUGUUUUAGUGUAUCAAACCCAUGACGCAAGGUAGCUGGACCCAGGAAAAUAAUAUGUCAUUGGCUUUGCCAGCUAAAGUUAUUUGUCACCUGCAAAGUCUGCAAUAAAUUUUGAUGUAUUAUAGGUUUAUUAGUUAGU
rnacentral:lncRNA from 1 species